rnacentral:rRNA from 1 species
CGUAUAUUAAGUUGUUGCAGUUAAAAGCUCGUAGUUGAACUUCGGGCCUGGCUGACCGGUCCGCCUCACCGCGUGCACUGGUCCGGCCGGGUCUUUCCUUCUGGCAAACCUCAUGCCCUUCACUGGGUGUGUUGGGGAACCAGGACUUUUACUUUGAAAAAAUUAGAGUGUUCAAAGCAGGCAUAUGCUCGAAUACAUUAGCAUGGAAUAAUAGAAUAGGACGUGCGGUUCUAUUUUGUUGGUUUCUAGGACCGCCGUAAUGAUUAAUAGGGAUAGUCGGGGGCAUCCGUAUUCAAUUGUCAGAGGUGAAAUUCUUGGAUUUAUUGAAGACAAACUACUGCGAAAGCAUUUGCCAAGGAUGUUUUCAUUAAUCAGGAACGAAAGUUGAGGGAUCGAAGACGAUCAGAUACCGUCGUAGUCUCAACCAUAAACUAUGCCGACUAGGGAUCGGGCGAUGUUUUUUUUAUGACUCGCUCGGAACCUUACAAGAAAUCAAAGUCUUUGGGUUCUGGGGGGAGUAUGGUCGCAAGGCUGAAACUUAAAGGAAUUGACGGAAGGGCACCACCAGGAGUGGAGCCUGCGGCUUAAUUUGACUCAACACGGGGAAACUCACCAGGUCCAGACACAUUAAGGAUUGACAGAUUGAGAGCUCUUUCUUGAUCAUGUGGGUGGUGGUGCAUGGCCGUUCUUAGUUGGUGGAGUGAUUUGUCUGCUUAAU